rnacentral:lncRNA from 1 species
UAGCAUUCGCUUGUAAAAGUUUAUUAAUUAUUUUGGACUAAUAAUUAAUUGAUUUUUAUAAAAAAAAUGGUUGGUUCGUAUGAACCAAUAAUGGAGCUUGCCAAAAAAAAAUAUUUUAGGCAAUCAUCUUUAUUAACUAUAAUAUAAAUAGCGAUUAAAGUAUGACCUAGCAUCGAUUUGCACACUUUUUUGCUAAUAACUAAUUUGCUGUUACUCAUGCAGUUUGGCAAAUAGCAUCAUUGAAUUCCUCACAUUUUUUUACAUAAAAAUCAAUUAAGUUUGCCCGGUUUAUAAUUUUGUUGCCAAACACUUCGUAGUAGGGACAGUAGACUAUUAGAGGGAUAUCCAACUUCCAUUUGACUGAAAAUGUACAAACAGAGUCAACUAAUGAGAUUGCUACGUCAAAUGAUGAAAAUAAUCAGCUUAUCUCAUAGUGUCAAGUGAAUUAUCAAGACUAUCUGCGACCAAUGACUCGCCGAGGGCCACCCAGGUAUAUUCUACGAGCAGUUCUUCGCGAAUCGGGUCAUCGCCAAGCCCCAGCGACCCAAGUGGCAGCCCACUAGCCGUGCUAUGACUAGACUCAACUGUAUCGCAGUGCUGGAGUCGUAGAAUUCCGGCGCUAAGAAUUCAGGUGCACCAAUUAGACCAACUAACAGAAAACUACGUAAGCAUUACGUACGUAAAAAACGGAGACAAAAGCAAAGGGGAGCAAUGAAGGGUGCCAGUGACAAGUCUAGGUCUACCAACAAAACCAGUGGUGUCCUGCUGGCAUGGACCGAGUCUGCCACGAGUCCUGUCCACUCCGGUGAUAACCUCCCUGAUGAUCGUCAGCCCCGAGAUAUCGAUAUCCAACCUUGGUCAAUUGUCGAGCGACUGUACCGCAGACUCGUUGAAGGCCAAGAGUCAGCUGACCCUCCGGCAAAGGGACUCUCCUCCGAGUAAGCUGACAGAGACGAGCACUUGAAAUUAGAAGAAGCGCAUUUAUCAGUACCACUUGUAGCAAACAGUCGCUUCUCUGUCUAGCGACCGGCCGCACUCAUGUCCGACUGUUAAGGGGAGUUUCUACGGCGGAAAAGUCAACCCCUAGUAACAAAAAGAACGACAACAAGAACGAACAAUGAUGCAAGGUAAUCUCCAGACCCGGUCGUAGUAGUCUCGACUCCCGGCAAGCUGAUGUAACGAACACCUGUCGGCUCUUGACUCCUGUUCGCAACCAAGAUAAUUUUAACGAAGUGACUGACGAAGACUUCGAGCUGCUCUCCGCUGAAAAUACUCUGACCGAGGACGAAAAAGACGAUCCAGAUUCCGGUAGGCUAAAGAUCGAGUUAACUGAUGAAGAAAAGGAAAAGGAAGCCUCCGGAUAGUAUCGAUGAAGAAGCUGUUGUCUCUUCUAUUGACAUGACCAUGCUCGGAGACUUUGAAUGUGUCAUGUGGGCUGAAGAAUGCAGCACUGCUGGCAGUUCAUUAGAAUCUUAAGUAUGGGUAGAAGCUGGAUUGUUUCCUGUUGAAGAUUUAUUCAAUUUACGUAAAAUCAACAGCGACUCAGAUGGACAUACAACUCCAAGAUUGAAUUUCGUUGAUGAGGGUAUUAUAUCCCUGGGUUGAGGUCUUUCAGUUGCUGCUGAUAAGUAUGGCUUAUAUUGAAAAAAAUUAUGACAAAGCCAAUUACCGUGUAUACUAUUUAAUUGGUGAUGGAGAAUCAGCAAAAGGUACAAUUUGGGAAGCCCUACAUUUUGUCUCUUUCUAAAAACUUGAUAAUCUUACUGCCAUUUUUGACAUCAAUCGUCUCGGUCAAAGUGAACCUGCUUCUUUACAACAUAACAAGGAAGUAUACCGAAAGCGCUUCAAGGCAAUUAGAUUUAAUGCUUUAGUUAUCGAUGGCCAUGAUAAUAAAGAAUUGGACAAGCAUCACCAUUUUACAAGCCUCACACACCGUUUAUCUGCCACAGCGUCUAUCCGUCUAUCUGGCGAAAAAUUGCGUACAAGAUGAACAAUUGGACAGCACAAGAAGACGCAGCCUUGUUGAAUCUCCGGCUGAUAAGACAUGGAACGGCAUACAUUUUCAACCAAUUACGGAAUGAUGAAUUGGACGUUUGGAUUGUUAUCUCCCACGAAGCAAUUUUUGGUGGAUAAGGUGCUCAAGCUCUAUAGGAGCGUUUUGAAGAAUUGCUCGAUGAAUGCUUGGUAAGUUUUAUUGUUUUUUGUUUUUUUGUAGAUUUUUUGAGAAAUCUAUAAACGAGCUGUGGGCGCUCGAAAAUUUUUCUUAUUUUUAUCACCAUAUUUUUCAUAUUUUUUUUAUUUUAACCACCAUAAAUUUAAGCUAUUAUUCGUCUAGUUUAGAUGAUUUUUUGAAUAAUUUCGUUAUUUUGAUA